GAGUGAGAUGAUGCUUUACCAUCUUUCGGGACUUACCCAUUAAUGGGGAUAACUUUCUUUCUACUGAUCACUC